GCCGCCAUAGCUCAGAGGUUAGAGCACUGGUCUCGUAAACCAGGGGUCGUGAGUUCGAAUCUCGCUGGUGGCU